GAUGAACGCUGGCGGCGUGCCUAAUACAUGCAAGUCGAACGGAGAGCUAGCAAUAGUUCUUAGUGGCGAACGGGUGAGUAACGCGUUGGUGACCUGCCCCGAAGCGGGGGAUAACAGUUCGAAAGGGCUGCUAAUACCCCAUAAUAUCUUGGAAGUUAGAGGUUUCGAGAUGAAAGGAGCAAUUCGUUUUGGGAGGGGCCUGCGUCCCAUCAGCUAGUUGGUAGGGUAAAAGCCUACCAAGGCGACGACGGGUAGGGGACCUGAGAGGGUGAUCCCCCACACUGGCACUGAAACACGGGCCAGACACCUACGGGAGGCAG
rnacentral:rRNA from 1 species